AACUUUUUACAAUGUAUCUCGUGGCUCUCGCGUCGAUUAAGAACGCAGCGAAAUGCGAUAAGUAAUGUGAAUUGCAGAAUUCAGUGAAUCAUCGAAUUUUUGAACGCACCUUGCGCUCCCUGGUAUUCCGGGGAGCACGCCUGUUCGAGUGUCGUGAAAUUCUCAAACUGAGAUGCUUUCUUGUUUCUCGGCUUGUGGUUGGGCUUUGCAGUCCCAUUUGAUUGGGAUGGCUGGCCUCAAAAGCAUUAGCUGGCUUUUCAUGUGGCAUUGGUUCUACUCAGCGUGAUAAUGAUCUGACCGCCGAGGACAUCUUUCGAGAUGGCCAAUUCUCAUUUGGGCUGCUUCUAAUCUUGGUCGAGCAGAUUCUGAAUCUGUUCCACUUUUCAACUUUUGACCUCGAAUCAGGUGGGACUACCCGCUGAACUUAAGCAUAUCAAUAAGCGGAGGCU
rnacentral:misc_RNA from 1 species